GAGUCUAGCAUGUGCGCGAGUCAUUGGGACUCUAACGAAACCUAAAGGCGCAAUGAAAGUGAAGGUCCGCCUUGCGCGGACCGAGGGAGGAUGAGUGGUUCUGCGGAGCCGCUUCGCACUCCCGGGGCGUCUCGUUCUCAUUGCGAGAAGAGGCGCACCCAGAGCGUACACGCUGGGACCCGAAAGAUGGUGAACUAUGCCUGGUCAGGACGAAGUCAGGGGAAACCCUGAUGGAGGUCCGUAGCGAUUCUGACGUGCAAAUCGAUCGUCGGAACUGGGUAUAGGGGCGAAAGACUAAUCGAACCAUCUAGUAGCUGGUUCCCUCCGAAGUUUCCCUCAGGAUAGCUGGCGCUCGCUUCUCGCGAGUCUCAUUCGGUAAAGCGAAUGAUUAGAGGCAUUGGGGUCGAAACGGCCUCAACCUAUUCUCAAACUUUAAAUGGGUGAGAUCUCCGGCUUGCUUGAACUGUGAAGCCGCGAGAUAUCGGAUCAGAGUGCCAAGUGGGCCACUUUUGGUAAGCAGAACUGGCGCUGUGGGAUGAACCAAACGCCGAGUUAAAGCGCCUAAAUCGACGCUUAUGGGAUACCAUGAAAGGCGUUGGUAACUUAAGACAGCAGGACGGUGGCCAUGGAAGUCGGA
rnacentral:rRNA from 1 species